rnacentral:pre_miRNA from 1 species
UUUCUACUCCCUCCGUCCAAAAAUACUUGUCAUCAAAAUGGAUAAAAAGAGAUGUAUCUAAAACUAAAAUACGUCUAGAUACAUUUGCUUCUAUCCAUUUUGAUGACAAGUAUUUCCGGACGGAGGGAGUAUUUG